UUGCCAAUGGGCGAAAGCCUGAUGCAGCGACGCCGCGUGAGCGAUGAAGCCCUUCGGGGUGUAAAGCUCUUUCGACGGGAACGAUAAUGACGGUACCCGGAGAAGAAGCUGCGGCUAACUACGUGCCAGCAGCCGCGGUAAUACGUAGGCAGCGAGCGUUGUUCGGAAUUACNUGGGCGUAAAGAGUGUGUAGGCNGGUGCUCCCAGUCUGUUGUGAAAUCUCCCGGCUUAACUGGGAGGGUGCAGCNGGAAACUAGAGUGCUAGAGGGUGGGAGAGGUAAGCGGAAUUCCUGGUGUAGCGGUGAAAUGCGUAGAUAUCAGGAGGAACACCUGUGGUGUAGACAGCUUACUGGACCACUUCUGACGCUGAGACACGAAAGCGUGGGUAGCAAACAGGAUUAGAUACCCUGGUAGUCCACGCCCUAAACGAUGCAUACUUGGUGUGAGCGAUUCAUUUCGUUCGUGCCGGAGCUAACGCGUUAAGUAUGCCGCCUGGGGAGUACGGUCGCAAGGCUGAAACUCAAAAAAAUUGACGGA
rnacentral:rRNA from 1 species